rnacentral:lncRNA from 1 species
CACACACAACACAUUCGUUUCUAGUACCAACUCUGAAGAUGCUAAAUCCCUUGCAAUUAUUGCAAGAGCGAAAUGAAAGCUCCUCCUUUUUGCAACCUUUGGCAUUCACACUGCUGGCCAUUUUCCUUGUCCUCCUAUACACAUGGUACUCUUCGACUAAAACCACCACCCAAAAAUCAACACAACCACCUUCUCCACCAAAGCUACCUAUCAUUGGAAACCUUCACCAGAUAGGCUCGUACCCUCAUCGAUCACUUCAAGCCUUGUCCCAACGCCAUGGCCCUCUCAUGCUUCUCCACUUUGGAAGUGUCCCGGUGCUUGUUGUCUCUUCAGCUGAGGCAGCCCGGGAGAUCUUGAAAACUCAUGACCUUGCGUUUUCUGAUCGACCCAAGUCCACAAUCUUUGAGAAGCUUCUCUACAACUACAAAGAUGUCGCAACCGCUCCGUAUGGUGAGUAUUGGAGGCAGGUGAGAAGUAUAUGUGUUUUAAAUCUUUUGAGCAACAGAAGGGUUCGGUCUUUUCGUUCUGUGAGAGAAGAGGAAACCAAAUCCAUGAUCAGAAACAUAAAGGACUCAUCAUCAUCAUCUGUUUUGAAUCUAAGCGAGAUGUUUGUGAGGCUUACUAAUGAUGUAGUGUGUAGAGUGGCUCUAGGGAGGAAGUACAGUGAAGGGGAAGGCGGGGAAAGUGGGAGGAUGUUUAAGGAGAUUUUAGGGGAUUUCGCUGACUUACUGGGAACUGUUAAUAUUGGGGACUAUAUCCCAUGGCUUUCUUGGUUGAGCCAUGUCAAUGGUUUGGGAGCCAAGUUAGACAAGGUGGCUAAGCAGUUGGAUGACUUUAUAGAUACAGUGGUUGAAGAGCAUAUGAACCAUAGUUCAAGGAGUGGAUAUGAUGACCAAAAGGAUUUUUUGGACAUUUUGCUUGCAAUUCAGAAAGAAAACUUGGCUGGCAUUCCUAUUGAUAGAGUUAGUGUAAAGGCUAUCAUCUUGGUAACUCUCUCUCUCUCUCUCUCUCUCUCUCUCUCUCUCUCUCUCUCUAUAUAUAUAUAUAUAUAUAUGCGUGUUCAUGUGUGUAUGUUUUCUGUGACAGAGGUGUAACAUAUAGUAGAAUAUAUAUUUUGCAAAAGGUUAAAUAUCUUAAUCCAAUCAAUUGUUUUUAGGACAUGUUUGCUGCUGGCACUGAUACCACAUAUACUGCCUUAGAGUGGGCAAUGACUGAGCUUUUAAGGCAUCCAAGGGUCAUGAACAAAUUGCAGAAUGAGGUAAGGGGAAUAGUCGGAAACAAAACAGACGUAAUUACAGAGGAUGAUUUGGUUGAAAUGCACUACUUGAAGGCAGUGACGAAGGAGACUCUUCGCUUACAUCCACCACUUCCAUUACUAUUUCCCAGGAUGUCAACCCGAGAUGUAGAAGUAAAUGGCUACAUCAUUAAAGCCAACACACAAGUUUUCAUCAGCGCAUGGCAAAUCGGAAGAGAUCCCAAGCUGUAUGACAAACCAGAGGAGUAUGAGCCAGAAAGGUUCUUGAAUAAUGGUAUAGAUUACAAAGGGAAUGACUUCGAAUUGAUUCCAUUUGGAGCUGGUAGGAGGGCAUGCCCAGGAAUUCAGUUUGCCAUGGCUGUUAAUGAAAUUGCCUUAGCAAACAUCGUGCACAAGUUCGAUUGGGCAUUGCCCGGUGAAGCAAGUGGGGAGGAUUUAGACAUGACAGAAACCACUGGUUUAACCGCACAUAAAAAAUAUCCUCUCAAAGCUGUUGCUUUUCCACAAUUCUAAGUUGAGAAAUAGAGGGCAGUUUCAUAUUAUUGUCUAAGGCUCUAAGCCUGUUACCAACACUGUUAGCACAAUAAAAAUUGUCAAAAUAUUAUGUAAUAUUCUAUUUUGUUCUUGUCUUCUGCCCAAGUGGAUGAACUCUUGUGGACUAACUCAUCCCUAGAAGAAGAAGAAGAACAAAUUUCUUGACAAUGAGAUCAUGAUGUUGAACAUAUAUGUAACUUAUUGUAACAUGAAUUUUGACUCUUAAAAAAUGAUCUUGGGUUUCUUUUUUUUCUUUUUCGGUACAUGAAUUUUGACUCUUUUCCCAAUUUUAUAUCUCCCAAAAAAAAAAAAAAAAAAAGUCUUACAUUAGUUUUUAAAGUAGCAAUUCAAACCAGGUUUAAACAGUUGACAUCUACUCGUUAUCGGUAAUUUGCCUAUAUUUAUGUUUUCUUUUUAAUUGUUUUGGUGUUGCUUGCAGUGUGGUGUAUCAUCUCUACUAAACAGUAUAGCCGUGCGGGUAUACGUGUAAAAUAUUCGAAUAAUUAUAGCUAUACAGUAUUGCCGUGUGGCUAUACUUGUAAAAUAUAUUUAAGGGUGCUGUAAAAUAUAAUAAGGAGUAUAGCCGCGCGGCUUUACUUGUAAAAUCUUCUAAAUAGUACGUUUAAAAUAUACGAAUUUAAUUUAAGGUAUAGCCGGUCGGCUAUACUGAUAAAAUAUUCGAAAAUAUUUUUGUCCAAAAAAAUAGAACUAGCAAAUUUUCAUCUUGACGAAAAAAAUUUGGAAAUCGUGUUAAGCCAAAAUCCGCCCUUUUUGACAGAAAAAAAUGAAAAACAAAAACCCUAACCAGAGAGAAAGAGAGCUAUUUCAAUUUUCAAUGGCGAUACAGACCACCUCGAGUUCGAGCGGAAGAAGACAUGCUUUAGGCAUACAACUCAAAGCACUUGUUUGGUAAGCUUCCAAUUCGCUAUUUUCCCACUUGUAUGAUUUUGGAUUAGACGAAUCUUAUUGCAUAGAAAUAGCGAGAAAAAUGACAGACUAAAAUUCUAAUCUCCUCCCCAAAUGCCACCAUUGUUGGAAUUUGAAGCAAUUGAAAACAUAGUUGUUUUUAUUUUAUUUUUCAAUUUCAAGUAGAAAAAGAAGAGAAUUCAAGGUUUUUGGCAUAGUAGAAUUGUGAACUAUUUCUACAAUCUAGUUUGGUGGGAGUUACUGUGGGGAGUUUAGGGAAGCUUGCAAUUAAUUCUUUAAUCUGUCACUGUCAAUGUAGUUUGGAGGGAGUUUCUGCGGAGACUACUUCUAGGGCAUUUGGGGACCUGUAAAGACAUAUAUUCAGAGCCAACUAGUCUUUGUGCAAGUCAGGUAUUGAUUUAACAUUCAUGGCUAAUGGGUAAAGCUCAAUUUUCAAAUACUGGAUCUGGCAUUUUAUUUUCUUGCUCAAGUGUUUCCGUAGCUUAGUUUGUAUGUAUCACCCCUUUUCUUUUGGCCUUUCCCACAACUGCUCGGUGACCCUGGCAAAAAUACGACUUCAACUCCUAAUAGAAAAUAUAUAUUCUAAUAGGAUUUCUACUUCCUAACAUGCACUCCCCACACUUGUUUAUUGCCAUAUUUUGUCCCAAAAAGGAAAAUUCAGAAGUACCCUGUUUUGGUCAUUAUUCUGUUUCUCUCUCCUUAAUCUGGUUCUUAUUUUUAGUGUAUUAGUUUUGUUUCUAAUUAUGAUUUCAUCUGCACUUGCAGGUUAUGUUCUAUGAAGGGUUGAAAGAUUAAAUAGAGUAUGGGAAGCAAAAAUAGGUAUGCAAUCCAAAUUUCCAUAUUGGUUGUUCUGUUUGGGGGACACCCAUACUAGGAGGAUUGGCUAGUGGUGAUAUGUACCUUGCCUAUACUAUGUCUUUAAAUCUUGUAUAAUUGGUUUCAGUAUUUUUUUGUAGGGUAAUAUAUUCUUGCCUUAGGUUUUUUGUAGGGCCUCAGAUUUACGUCUCAAAUUUUUCUACUAUUGUAUCACUCAUGGGAUGGAUUAUGGAAGUUAGACAUGAUAGCAAAAAGGUUUAUCAGUUUCCAUCUAAUGUUUUUGUGAACUUCAGGUACAAUGGGUGGUUGGAUGCACAGGGGAUGUUCAGGUAGCAAAUCCAGCUUUAGCUCUUACCUUAAUGGCUGCACUACGGAAUUUCCCAGAAGGAUUGAGCAAUGAUAACACACGAGGGUACCCUAAAGGUUGUCCCUCAGAUAUUUGAGGGAUCCCUCAAUAGGAGAGAGAGAGGAAAUGAAGCAUUUUUUCUCGUCUUUUAUGUAAAGUUCACAUCAUCAGGAGGGGAUAAGAUUUGAAGAGUGAAGAGAUUGACAAGCAUUCUGUGUGAGAGAGAGAGAGAGAGAGAGAGAGAGAGAGAGAGAGAGUCCCUCUCCCUAGUUUCAAGGGUUGGUCCCAGUUUCCUGAUUCUCUAGUUGAUGAGCAUAUGUGUACUUUUUGUUGUACUCGUGUCGUGUGGACUAACUCAACCCUAGAAGAAGAAGAAUUGAAACAAAAUAACUUGCUCAUAAACUUGUAUGCAGCUCAAAUUUGUGAGGGGGUGGUUUGAACUUUUAAAUACAUGGUUUUGUUUUUGUUGGUUCUAGAAAGUGUGUUCGACCAACAGAAAAAGAAAGUGUGUGAGUGGCGUUCUGAUACUACUAUUGGGUUUUUAGAAGGAACAAUAAAGUGAUUUUAUUUAUUCAACAAUGGGAUGGAUACAAGGCUUAGGUAUUUGGCCUGUUAGUUGUAGCUAUUGGCCUUUAUCACUAGCUUUAUGACAAACAGAGAGCUUAAUGCCUAUUUAUGGAGGGAACAACCAUCUAGUAAAGUCGGUUAUUCUAGUAAACCUACAGUAAUUCCAGCCACAUAUUGUAGCUUCAACUAGAACUUUCUACUAGCUUCGAUUAAGUUAGUGACUCGCAUUUAGGGAAUACAUCUACCGACUUUGCAUUCUAAAUUAUCCUAGAAAAUUCUGCUAGCUUAUACAAAUCUCCACCAAAUGUGCAUUAUUUUUCAACAGUUUUCUUUGCCUUUGUUUAAACACACACAACACAUUCUUAGCACCAACUCUGAAGAUGCUAAAUCCCUUGCAAGUAUUGCAAGAGCUAAAUGAAAGCUACUCCUUUUUGCAACCUUUGGCCUUCACACUGCUGGUCAUUUUCCUCGUCCUCCUAUACACAUGGUACUCUUCGACUAAAACCACCACCCAAAAGUCAUCCCCACCACCUUCUCCACCAAAGCUCCCUAUCAUUGGGAACCUUCACCAGCUAGGCUCGUACCCUCAUCGUUCAAUUCAAGCCUUGUCCCAGUGCCAUGGCCCUCUCAUGCUUCUCCACUUUUCAAGUGUCCCGGUGCUUGUUGUCUCUUCAGCUGAGGCAGUUAGACAAGGUGGCUAAGCAGUUGGAUGACUUUAUAGAUACAGCGGUACAGGAGCAUAUGAACCAUAGUUCAAGGAGUGGAGAUGAUGACCAAAAGGAUUUUUUGGACGUUUUGCUUGCAAUUCAGAAAGAAAACUAUUUUCUUUCUAUAUUCAUUUUAGAAGGUUGGAUGUGUGAAACACAUAAGAUCAUGAAUUUCGAGUUCUGCUUAAGAGUAUCUAAAGUGUUCCUUUAGCGUUUGUUCAUCCAAACAAAAAUAAAGAUCCGUGCGAGUUCCAUAUUCUUGUGUAAGUUCAAUUUGCCACAGCUGUUACUGAGAUUGCUUUAGCAAAUAUAGUACAUAAGUUUGAUUGGAAAUUGCCUGGUGGAGCAACCAACAAGGAUUUGGACGUGACUGAAGCUACUGGUUUAACCAUGCAUAGGAAAUAUCCUCUCAAAUCUGUUGUUGUGAGUGUGAAUGCAAAUGUCUUAAACUGGUUUCUUGGGAAAUUUUUUGUGUUUUGGGAAUUUGACUGAAGCUAUUGGUUGAACCAUGCAUAGGAAAUAUCCUCUCAAAUCUAUAUAUGUCCAUGAUGAGAACAUGUAAAAGAAAGAAUAAAAGAAAUCACUUACAGUUUUGAGUGGGAAAAGGAGAGAGGGAUCUCUUGUUGAUACAAAAUUGACAGCAAGUAUAUGGUGAGAAAUGGUGGACCAUAACUUGGAACAAGAAUUGUAAAAGAAGUCCUUGAUUGAUGCAGGAGCAUGGGGAUGGAUCAGGACAGAUAUUACCCUUUAAUUUGUUAUUUUUUGAGAUAUUGUUAUUUUCUUAUUUAGGUAGUUUUAGGAUAUCUUUUAUUAUUUAUGUGUGAUUUUAUAAUUAAUUAACUUACUUUUGGACCAAGUAGCAUUGGUGAGUCUUGUAAAGCCUAUAAAUAAGCUAAUGUAAUAGUUGUAGGGAAGUUUAUUAUGAUUAAUAAAAAAAGUUUAUUUGUGGCAUGGAUUUGCUAUGAUAUAUGUGAGUUUGCACUAACUCUAGAUUUUGGUGCUCGUGUGUGUUGUUGGUGACCUAUGUCCGGACCCCGAUCCCCAUCAUUAUUUAUUUUUCAACAGGCAUCCCAUACUAUCUUUCUUCUUCUAUAUGUCAACGACAUCGUGGUAACUGGCAGUGAUUCCACUCAUCUCCAACAAUUCAUCUCUCUUUUAGGUGGCUACUUUGACACCAAAGACCUUGGUUCGCUAAGCUAUUUCUUGGGUUUACAGGCUUUUCAUAAGGAUGACACUCUCUACAUCAAUCAACUCAAAUAUGCAUAUGAUCUUUUACAGAAAGCCAAUCUUCUCAACUCCAAACCCACAUCUACCCCAUUGGCUGCCUAGGUUCUCCUCUCUGUCUCUGAUGGUGCUCUAAUCUCCAAUCCAAUCGAGUAUCGCGAGCUUGUUGGCAGUUUAUAGUAUCUCACUCUUACUCGCCCUGACAUAUCGUUUGCUGUCAACAUUGUUGCUCAGUUCAUGAGUGCCCCUUGCACCUCUCACCUUGUUGCUUCAAACGAAUACUAAGGUACAUCAAGGGCACUAUUGAUCUCGGCCUCACCUUCACUCCUCAAACUGCCAUAGCUCGCCUCUUCCCCUACUCUGAUGCGGACUGGGCUGGGUGCCCUAAUUCUCGUUGGUCAACCACUGGAUAUGAUAUUACUCUUGGAACUAACCUCAUCUCAUAGUGUUCCAAGAAACAAUCCACAGUCUCGCGCUCUAGUACAGAAUCGGAAUACCGUGCCCUCUCUCAUGCUUGUGCCGAAACCACUUGGCUCUGUUCCUUUCUUCAUGAAUUGGGUGUGUGUCUUUGGUUUCCGAUCCAACUCUUUUGUGACAAUCUCAGCACCACGUACAUGGCUGCCAAUCCAAUUUUCCAUGCCCGCACAUGUCACAUUGAGUUGGACUAUCACUUUGUCCGUAAAAAGGUUGCUCUUGGAAGUCAUCAAGUUUGCUUUGUUCCUUCUGUCGACCAACCUGCAGACCUGUUUACCAAAGCCCUUCACAAACCACGCCAUCAACAUAUGUUUUCCAAACUUGUGCAUCCUGUGACGCCUAGUUUGCAGGGGGUGUUAACGUAGCUUUCCUUUCCUAGCACACACGGAAGUCAACUUCACAAUCUCCUCCUAGCAAUUAGCUUUUUCUGCUGUAAAUCGGAUUGUAUUCAUGUCUAUAUUAUUUCCUACCUUAAGUAGAUUUUCUUUAUCAAUAUAAAUAGGGACUUUGUGUAAUCUGUUUAAUACAAGGAAAUAUAUUAUUUACAUCUUCUGCCCAAGUGGAUGAAUUCGUGUGGAAUAACUCAUCCCUAGAAGAAGAAGAAGAAGAAAGAGGAAGAUAACAAAUUGAAACAAACAAAGUCGUCCAUAAACUUUUAUGUGGCUCCAAGUUGGCCGACACAUGCUCUCCUCUUACAAAUGGACCAUCAUAAUGCUCACACACAAAUUUGUGAGGCGGUGGUUUCAACUUUUAAAUACAUUGGAUGAUCCUAUCCUCUUGUUGUUUUGUUUUCUUAUGGAACCACGGACGGUUCUGUUCUGCAUGGUAGGAUGAUCUUUGCCUUUAUAAAAAACACACACAACACAUUCUUUUCUUAGCACUAACCCUGAAGAUGCUAAAUACCUUGCAAGUAUUGCAAGAGCUAAAUGAAAGCUCCUCCUUUUUGCAACCAUUGGCCUUCACACUGCUGGCCAUUUUCCUUGUCCUCCUAUACACAUGGUACUCUUCGACUAAAACCACCACCCAAAAAUCAACACAACCACCUUCUCCGCCAAAGCUACCUAUCAUUGGAAACCUUCACCAGAUAGGAUCGUACACUCAUCGCUCACUUCAAGCCUUGUCCCAACGCCAUGGCCCUCUCAUGCUUCUCCACUUUGGAAGUGUCCCGGUGCUUGUUGUCUCUUCAGCUGAGGCAGCCCGGGAGAUCUUGAAAACUCAUGACCUUGCGUUUUCUGAUCGACCCAAGUCCACAAUCUUUGAGAAGCUUCUCUACAACUACAAAGAUGUCGCAACCGCUCCGUAUGGUGAGUAUUGGAGGCAGGUGAGAAGUAUAUGUGUUUUAAAUCUUUUGAGCAACAGAAGGGUUCGGUCUUUUCGUUCUGUGAGAGAAGAGGAAACCAAAUCCAUGAUCAGAAACAUAAAGGACUCAUCAUCAUCAUCUGUUUUGAAUCUAAGCGAGAUGUUUGUGAGGCUUACUAAUGAUGUAGUGUGUAGAGUGGCUCUAGGGAGGAAGUACAGUGAAGGGGAAGGCGGGGAAAGUGGGAGGAUGUUUAAGGAGAUUUUAGGGGAUUUCGCUGACUUACUGGGAACUGUUAAUAUUGGGGACUAUAUCCCAUGGCUUUCUUGGUUGAGCCAUGUCAAUGGUUUGGGAGCCAAGUUAGACAAGGUGGCUAAGCAGUUGGAUGACUUUAUAGAUACAGUGGUUGAAGAGCAUAUGAACCAUAGUUCAAGGAGUGGAUAUGAUGACCAAAAGGAUUUUUUGGACAUUUUGCUUGCAAUUCAGAAAGAAAACUUGGCUGGCAUUCCUAUUGAUAGAGUUAAUGUAAAGGCUAUUAUCUUGGUAACUCUCUCUCUCUCUCUCUCUCUCUCUCUCUCUCUCUCUCUCUCUAUAUAUAUAUAUAUAUAUAUAUAUAUAUAUAUACAUAGAUGUGUGUGUGUAUGUUUUUUGUGAAAGAGGUGUAACAUAAAGUAGCAUAUAUAUUUUGCAAAAGGUUAAAUAUCUUAAUCCAAUCAAUUGUUUUUAGGACAUGUUUGCUGCUGGCACUGAUACCACAUAUACUGCCUUAGAGUGGGCAAUGACUGAGCUUUUAAGGCAUCCAAGGGUAAUGAACAAAUUGCAGAAUGAGGUAAGGGGAAUAGUCGGAAACAAAACAGACGUAAUUACAGAGGAUGAUUUGGUUGAAAUGCACUACUUGAAGGCAGUGACGAAGGAGACUCUUCGCUUACAUCCACCACUUCCAUUACUAUUUCCCAGGAUGUCAACCCGAGAUGUGGAAGUAAAUGGCUACAACAUUAAAGCCAACACACAAGUUUUCAUCAACGCAUGGCAAAUCGGAAGAGAUCCCAAGCUGUAUGACAAACCAGAGGAGUAUGAGCCAGAAAGGUUCUUGAAUAAUGGUAUAGAUUACAAAGGGAAUGACUUUGAAUUGAUUCCAUUUGGAGCUGGUAGGAGGGUCUGCCCAGGAAUUCAGUUUGCCAUGGCUGUUAAUGAAAUUGCCUUAGCAAACAUCGUGCACAAUUUCGAUUGGGCAUUGCCCGGUGAAGCAAGUGGGGAGGACUUAGACAUGACAGAAACCACUGGUUUAACCGCACAUAAAAAAUAUCCUCUCAAAGCUGUUGCUUUUCCACACUUCUAAGUUGAGAAAUAGAGAGGGCAGUUUCAUAUUAUUGUCUGAGGCUCUAAGCCUGUUACCAACACUGUUAGCACAAUAAGAAUUGUCAAAAUAUUAUUUAAAAUUCUAUUUUGUUGUUGUCUUUUGCCCAAGUGGAUGAACUCUUGUG